rnacentral:rRNA from 1 species
UACGGAGGAUGCAAGCGUUAUCCGGAAUCAUUGGGCGUAAAGCGUUCGUAGGUGGCUGUGCAAGUCUGCCGUUAAAGACAGUGGCUUAACCACUGAAAGGCGGUGGAAACUGCGCAGCUAGAGUGCGGUAGGGGUAGAGGGAAUUCCCGGUGUAGCGGUGAAAUGCGUAGAGAUCGGGAAGAACACCAGUGGCGAAAGCGCUCUACUGGGCCUGCACUGACACUGAGGGACGAAAGCUAGGGGAGCGAAUGGG